AAGACCUUGCGCUUUUGGAGCGGCCGAUGCCUGAUUAGCUUGUUGGUAAGGUAAAAGCUUACCAAGGCUUCGAUCAGUAGCUGGUCUGAGAGGACGACCAGCCACACUGGGACUGAGACACGGCCCAGACUCCUACGGGAGGCAGCAGUGGGGAAUUUUGGACAAUGGGGGCAACCCUGAUCCAGCCAUGCCGCGUGAGUGAAGAAGGCCUUCGGGUUGUAAAACUCUUUCAGCCGGAACGAAACGGUUACGGUUAAUACCCGUGACUACUGACGGUACCGGAAGAAGAAGCACCGGCUAACUACGUGCCAGCAGCCGCGGUAGUACGUAGGGUGCGAGCGUUAAUCGGAAUUACUGGGCGUAAAGCGUGCGCAGGUGGUUUUGUAAGUCAGAUGUGAAAGCCCCGGGCUCAACCUGGGAACU
rnacentral:rRNA from 1 species